UACAGGGGGUGCAAGCGUUGCUCGGAAUCAUUGGGCGUAAAGCGCACGUAGGCGGUCUGUUAUGUCGGAUGUGAAAGCCCUUGGCUCAACUGAGGAAGUGCAUCCGAAACUGGCAGGCUAGAGUACUAAAGAGGAUCGCGGAAUUCCCGGUGUAGAGGUGAAAUUCGUAGAUAUCGGGAGGAACACCGGUGGCGAAGGCGGCGAUCUGGGUAGAUACUGACGCUGAGGUGCGAAAGCGUGGGGAGCAAACAGG
rnacentral:rRNA from 1 species